UAGGUUACUGCCCCUGAAUUGGUAAUUUAAAGGAAACUUUGCUGUUUUUGGUUAUUAUCUUGAAUAUUACUAUAGAUAGAAAUAAACUGUAAACAGCAAAAAUGUACAGCAAAGUAAGAUCUAAAAAUAAGUCAACAUGACCAAAAUGGUCAAUUGACCCCCUAGGGAGUUAUUGCCCUUUUUAGUCAAUUUUUAACAGUUUUCAUAAAAUUUGUAAAUUUUCACUAACAUUUUCCACUGAAUCUAUUGGGCCAAGUUCAUUAUAGAUAGAGAUAAUUGUAAGCAGCAAGAAUGUUUAGAAAAGUAAGAUCUACAAACACAUCCCCAUCACCAAAACACAAUUUUGUCAUAAAUCCAUCUGUGUCCUUUGUUUAAUAUUCACAUAGACCAAGGUGAGCGAAACAGGCUCUUUGGAGCCUCUAGUUAUUUA
rnacentral:lncRNA from 1 species